rnacentral:rRNA from 1 species
GUGAGGAAUUUUCCGCAAUGGGCGAAAGCCUGACGGAGCAAUGCCGCGUGAAGGAUGAAGGCCUAUGGGUUGUAAACUUCUUUUCUCAGAAAAGAAUUAUGACGGUAUCUGAGGAAUAAGCAUCGGCUAACUCUGUGCCAGCAGCCGCGGUAAGACAGAGGAUGCAAGCGUUAUCCGGAAUGAUUGGGCGUAAAGCGUCUGUAGGUUGUUUAAAAAGUAUUCUGUCAAAGAUUAGGGCUUAACCCUAGAUAGGCAGAAUAAACUUUUAAGCUAGAGUUUGGUAGAGGCAGAGGGAAUUCCCGGUGGAGCGGUGAAAUGCGUAGAUAUCGGGAGGAACACCAAAGGCGAAGGCACUCUGCUGGGCCAAUACUAACACUGAGAGACGAAAGCGAGGGGAGCAAAUGGGAUUAGAAACCCGGGUAGUC